AGUGCCUGAAAGCUUUUGAACUAGGUGAGGUCUUGUAGUCAUUAAUGGCAGCAAAGGCAACAGCUUUCCUCAGAAUGAAACACCGUUCCCCCUGGAACCUCACAGCCCCUCAAAAGGUAGUAAGCUGUACGGAAGCAGGCCUUGCUAACCCUGAGAGCUGGUCAAGGACACAGCAGUGUCUCAAGCAAAAGAUGGAUGAGCGAGACAGAGUUCAAUACUGGCUUCCUCAAAAAUAAACAGUUACUAAAGAUACCAAACAGUACCGUCCAAGACAGACCCCUAAGGGACACCACUCGUCACCAGCCUCCACCUGGACAUAGAGCCAUUGGCCACCACUAUCUGGGUGUGACCUUCAAGGCAAUUCGUUAUCCACUGAAUGGUCCUCCCUUCAAAUCCAUAUCUCUCCAAUUUGGAGAUCAGGAUGUCAUGUGGGACCGUGUCAAAAGCCUUACAGAAACCCAGGUAGAUGACAUAGAAGACAGAAGUCUUCCCUUGUCAACUGAUGCAGUCACUCCAUCAUAGAAGGCCACCAGAUUCUUUAGGCACAACUUGCCCUUAGUUUUUUGCUCACAUAAAAGUAAAUGUAGUUCAUUUUCUUCAUUUGCUAUGCAGAGAAAGUGUGAAUAGGUUUUGUAGGACUGAAGAUUGUAUUACAAUAGCAUCAUAUAGGUAUGAGACAGCAGAGCUAAAACAUGGUGUGUGUCCAUGGGAUACUGGACUUUUGAGUUCUUCUGCCAUCUUACUGUUCUGCUAGUAAAUCUCAGCAAAUGCAUAUUGGCAUUACUUUGUCAGCUUUGAUGGUGUUAUGCUGAUUUACAUCAUCAAAAGAUCUACCUAACAGCCUCAUUAAAAAUCAAUGCAAUGUGAGUCAUAUUUUAUCACACUUCUAUUUAACCCUUGUGCCUUAUCUGCUCUGACAUGGGAUAUUGCACAUGGUUUGAGAGGCAAAUCUAACUUCCUUCUAAUCUGUUACAAUCUUUACUUAGUUUGAUUUAGAAAUGGAUCAAACUCAGCCAUGAUUAAGCUAGACACUCAAUCAAGCUUGUGUCUUAGUUUUGAAGCAUGUGAGUGAUCCUGUUGAAGCGAGAGUUUAGCAUGUACUUAAGUACUU